UUGAAAAAGUAGCGGAUGACCUGUGGCUGGGGGUGAAAGGCCAAUCAAACCGGGAGAUAGCUGGUUCUACCCGAAGGCUAUUUAGGUAGCGCCUCGUGAAGUCAUCUCCGGGGGUAGAGCAGUGUUUCGGCGAGGGGGCCAUCCCGGCUUACCAACCCGAUGCAAACUGCGAAUACCGGAGAAUGUUAUCACGGGAGACACACGGCGGGUGCUAACGUCCGUCGUGAAGAGGGAAACAACCCAGACCGCCAGCUAAGGUCCCAAAGUCAUGGUUAAGUGGGAAACGAUGUGGGAAGGCCCAGACAGCCAGGAUGUUGGCUUAGAAGCAGCCAUCAUUUAAAGAAAGCGUAAUAGCUCACUGGUCGAGUCGGCCUGCGCGGAAGAUGUAACGGGGCUAAACCAUGCACCGAAGCUGCGGCAGCGAACGUAUCACCCAAGACAACUUUACGGAGUUGACGAUUGACGGAGCGAAGCGACGUCAAAGCGUUCAUUAAAGUCGAGUUGGCUUAGGGAUACGUUCGUUGGGUAGGGGAGCGUUCUGUAAGCCUGUGAAGGUGUGUCGUGAGGCA
rnacentral:rRNA from 1 species